AGGAUAAUAGUUUAACAAACAUUUAAUUUGCAUUUAAAAAAUAUUGAAUAUUCUCAAUUUAUCUUA
rnacentral:tRNA from 1 species